GUAGAAGACAAGAAACACAAAAAGGGGCUGCUUGAAGCUUUUUUGUUUUAUUUUGUUGCAAUAUGUAGAAUAUAUACACUAAAUUACAAUUCCUGUGGCUUAAUUUGAGUGCUGUGGGACUUGGAAUGUAACGUCUAAGGAACACCUACAAAAUGAAGUUCAAAUGAAGGACGAUCUCAGACAGACAAAUUGGAAGCAGAGAGAAAUUUGUGCGGUGGAAAGGUGGCAAUAUACAGAGAAAGAGGAAACACUGGCCUGCAGCAGUAGCCCUAGGGCACUCAUCUCUGUGCAAACACUGGCAACAAAAAAGGUAAUUUUUAAACUUGUGAUCCUAUUAAAGUAAUGCUAAUGAUUUAGGUAGUUGAGGAACAUUAUUCAUUAACCAAGCAUAUGUGGUUUUACUUUUCUUCUUUCACUAAAACUCUAAAAAAUCUAUGUACUUUUAUAGGAAACAUUGCUGUCCUUGAAGUUUUGAUAUUUACAGUCUUUAAAUAUGCUUUUUGGGGAUAGCUCAGCAGGGCCACCACCUGCACUGCAAGCACAAGGACCCAGGUUCGAUCUCUGGUACCAAAAAAACCAAAAACCCCCCAAAAAAGCUUUUUUGUGAGAUUUAAAACAACGAACUUAUUCUGAUGCCAUCA
rnacentral:lncRNA from 1 species